AUCCCAGCUUUUGGGGCGGAUCUUCCAUUCAGGGAGUUGGGCUGGGAGGUCUCUGCGUUCCUCCCUUUGAGAUGAAGGAGACAGGCACAGAUGUGAAGACAGAGAUGUCUCGGGUCCUCGCCUGUUUGCUGGUUUUCCUGGCAGGCUGCUGGGGAUGCCAGCACCACGCCUGCCGCUGCGCCGGCAGGGUCUUCAUUUGUCAGGAGAGCAAGGUGGUCCAGGUUCCCCGGGACAUCCCCGCCAACACCACCGAACUGAGAUUUGUCCUCACCAAGAUGAGAGUCGUUCCAAAAGGAGCUUUCGCAGGACUGGGUGACCUAGAGAAAAUAGAGAUCUCACAGAAUGAUGCCUUGGAGGUCAUAGAAGCAAAUGUGUUUUCCAACCUUCCCAAACUACAUGAAAUAAGAAUCGAAAAGGCCAACAACCUUGUGUACAUUGAUCAAGAUGCCUUCCAACACCUUCCGAGCCUCAGAUAUUUGUUAAUAUCAAACACUGGCCUUCGGUUUUUACCUGCUGUCCAUAAGGUGCACUCUUUCCAGAAAGUUUUACUAGAUAUUCAAGACAAUAUCCAUAUACGUACAAUCGAAAGAAAUUCGUUCACGGGACUGAGUUCUGAAAGCGUGAUUCUAUGGUUGAAUAAAAAUGGGAUUCGGGAAAUUGAGAAUCACGCAUUUAAUGGAACCUACCUGGAUGAGCUGAAUCUAAGUGAUAAUCACAACCUAGAAAAAUUACCAAAUGAGGUCUUCCAAGGAGCCAAUGGGCCCGUUGUUUUGGAUAUUUCAAGGACAAGAAUCAGUUUCCUGCCAAGUCACGGAUUAGAACUCAUUAAGAAGCUAAGAGCAAGGUCUACGUACAAUUUAAAAAAGCUUCCUGAUUUAAGCAAAUUUAGAUCUUUGAUUGAAGCAAACUUCACCUAUCCUAGCCAUUGCUGUGCAUUUACAAACUGGAAAAGACAAAACACCGAAUUGCAUCCGAUAUGUAGCAUAUCUCUGGCCAAGCAAGACCUUGAUGAGCAGCCUGGCGAUAAGAUACAUAAACGAUCUGCAGCUGAAGAUUCUAUUUCCAACUACGGCAUAGGAUUUGACCCAGCAGAGAAUGAUUUUGACUAUGGUUUAUGCAAUGAAGUAGUUAAUGUAGCUUGCUCACCUAAACCUGAUGCUUUCAAUCCGUGUGAAGAUAUCAUGGGAUACACCAUUCUGAGGGUCUUGAUAUGGUUUAUCAACAUUUUAGCUAUCACUGGGAACAUUGUUGUCCUCAUUAUUUUAAUAAGCAGUCAAUACAAACUCACCGUACCUCGCUUUCUAAUGUGCAAUCUUGCAUUUGCAGACCUCUGCAUAGGUAUCUAUCUGUUGUUUAUUGCAUCUGUAGAUAUCCAGACCAAAAGCCAGUAUUACAACUACGCCAUAGACUGGCAAACUGGGGCAGGCUGCAAUGCUGCAGGAUUUUUUACGGUGUUUGCAAGUGAACUCUCAGUCUACACACUGACAGUGAUAACUCUGGAAAGGUGGCACACCAUCACCUACGCCAUGCAACUGGACCGCAAGGUUCGAUUUCGUCAUGCUGUGAUUAUAAUGGUUUUUGGCUGGAUGUUUGCUUUCACGGUGGCACUUCUUCCCAUAUUUGGAGUCAGCAGCUACAUGAAGGUCAGCAUCUGUUUGCCCAUGGAUAUAGAAACACCAUUUUCUCAGGCCUACGUUAUAUUUCUUUUAGUGUUGAACGUACUUGCAUUUGUGAUUAUAUGUGCCUGCUACGUCUGCAUCUACUUUACUGUGAGAAACCCUAAUGUCAUCUCUUCAAAUAGUGACACCAAGAUUGCUAAGCGCAUGGCCAUACUGAUCUUCACGGACUUCCUCUGCAUGGCACCAAUAUCUUUUUUUGCAAUAUCAGCCUCACUCAGGGUUCCUCUCAUCACAGUGUCCAAAUCUAAGAUCCUUCUGGUUUUGUUUUACCCCAUCAAUUCCUGUGCUAACCCUUUCCUCUAUGCCAUUUUCACCAAGACUUUCCGCAGGGAUUUCUUCAUUCUGUUGAGCAAGUUUGGUUGCUGCGAAAUGCAAGCCCAGAUUUACAGAACAGAGACCUCCUCAUCUGCUCAUAAUUUCCACACGAGAAAUGGCCAUUGCCCUCCUGCAUCAAAAAACAGUGAUGGGACUGUUUAUUCAUCGGUUCCUCUGAAUCACUUGAACUGAAAUGCUUGCAUGAAUUUGUGUCUGAGGCAGUGUGAUAAUCACUUUCAACUGUGAAUUUGAAUAAUGACUUCAGCAUAGCAUGUAAACUUAUUUUUUAUGAGAAAAAAAAUGGUUUCCACUUUGCUAUUUUUGUUCAAUGAACAGCCAUCAGAGAUGACACAUCAUCUUCAUCAGUUCUUGAAGGACAAAGAGCAAAACUUUAGUACGUGCCAAAGUGUUCUUGUAGAAUUGUCUCAAGAAAUAAAUGAGAUUAUAAACUGGUAUCUCCCACCAUGCAGGCAGAGAUUCCCUUCCUUCUAGGAAGAUGUUAACUGCUUAUUGAGAAUUAAAUACUGUUUAUAUACGGUAGAAAGAAAAAAAUAGGUAGAAUUAAUUUUUUUUGCCUGUGAAAUAUGUUAUAACAAUGACAGGUAAUUAGCUGUUUUCAUUAAUCAUAUCUCCUAGGGUUACAGGAGACAGAAGGCCAACUUAACGCCCUCCUUCAGCACAGACUUACUGGGAUUGACAAUAUCUUGUGUUGUUUCUAUUUCUGUUGACCACAGCAGAGGGGCAGGAGGCAUCUCCAGCUUUGCUGAUGUUUGCUGUUCCACACUGCACGGACCUGCCUUACCCUGCACAAAAGUGUCACUUUGGGUAGGACUUGUGUUGAUCUAGAUUAGCAGUCUCAGAGAACCAGAGUUCAUCGGAGUUUGGAUCAAGGAGUUUGGUUUGGGGUUUGUUUUCAAGGUGAGAAAGAGCAAGAACGAGAGCGGGGAUAAGGGGGAUGUUUCUCAAGUUGGUCUCACAAAGUCGGGUUGAAAUCAUGUUAGUGGGGCUGGGCCAACGGGCUGCUCUAACAUGAUGCCUGAGGCAGGUUUGCCAUACAGCAGUAUUAGUGCAUUACUCUGUCUGGGCUAUGUAAAGGACGACGGAUCCAGAUACGGCUUUUGAAAACCUGUACAAAAGUUUUUCUGAAAUCCUAAAAGUUCUCUUUCCCUUUCCCUUCUAAAAAAAAAAAAAAAGCCUCACGAGCACAUUAUCAGACAAUGGUCCAGAUUGAAAAACCUGAAAGAAACCAUGCACUGCAUAUGUUGAAAUAACAAAAAAGAAAAAAAAACCCUCUUAAUCAAGAUUUCCUAAUUUUAUGGGGGUUUUGAAUAACAUCUCAAUGAACAUACUGCCUUUUUACAUGAUUUGAAUAUCAAACUUUUUUGAGGGUUAAUUGUUCCAAAUCACACCAAAGAUAUUUAGGGUUGUGGAGGGUUUUCUCAUGCUGAUUGUGUGUCUGCGUGUGGGCAUGUGGGCAUAAAGAAAACACCAGGACAGGAGUCUGGGUUUCAUUCCCAUCUCACAAACAAUUCAUGGUUUUGACCCAUGAGAUUAUAAAUCUUUGGAGUCUUCAUGGUUAAAUAUGAUGAGCUUUGAAUAUUUCCUGCCUACAACUCCUAAAAUUUCAGUAGAAAUUCUUGAUGCUUCUAUCCGUAAUUUCCCCUGUCAUCAGCAUCACAUUUCAGCAUCCGAACCUGAUGUGAAUAACUCCAGGAGACGAUUAUUCAUUCAGUCCUAUCCAGGGAAGGAAGUAUCAGCUCCCUAGUGCAUAAAACAGGGGAGAUCAAAGAUAGUGCAUUGCGGGGGGGUGGGAAUUUCGUUACUCAAAACAAGUAACACUCCUUCCAAGAUCCAGGAGAAGGAAGAAUGAAAGAGCAAAAUAAGAAAGACAGCUCAUCUCUGGGAAGCUCUUCUGGCUAUUCAGAGGAAUCAUUUCUUCACAAAUGCUUUAUGUCAUAUACAGUGUACUGGUGUGGAGCCAUUAAAACCUGUCCCAAUGGAAAUGUCUUAACAAUGAUGUUCCAAAACGACAAAUGUUCAGUUGCAUUAAAGAGAGAAUCCCGGAUCUAUUCUUGGGCCAAAAAUGAGGGGUAUUCUUUGGCAAAUAGUAGCCCAUUUUUGUUGAUAAAUAGGGCAAAUUCUUGUAGCACGUCUCACUUUUUUGCCUGCACCCUGACCAUUUGCAAAGGCAAAAGGGGGGGACCUGGCAGUUCAGGAAAGCACAGGCAUUGUCUAGAAGCCAGCCUUGUAAACCCUCUCACAGCUACGUCAGGCACAUGAGCUUGGUGCAACUUACCGAAUUCCUGUGAAACUACUGCCCAGACGUUUGCAGAAUCAGGUCCUGCUUAAAUGCGCUUUACAAAUAAACCCCCAGAACAGCCUUGCAGGGUUGUGCCUUGUAGCCAAUUAGACCAGGGACCAAGGGAAGAGGCUGUCUAGCCCAUGGCUCUUCCUCCAGAGCAGGCAAGGGAUGGAUGAUACUCAAAGCGCAAAUAGAACCUGCAUAACCGAACACCUUGCCUCGUCCCUAGCAGGAGGACAGCACAGAAAUGCUGGAGGCACAUGUCAUCCUGCCCACGCCUGCUGCGCAGGAGCUGCGGUGGCAGCUCAGGCUCUGGCAGCAGCUCCAAAGCUAGGAGGCUGACCAUGUCAUUGCCAAGACAAUAACCUCCUUCUUGUAGUCCUCAGAUCUCCUUGGCUUUCACUGUUCUUUGGAUUUUAAUUUUAAGCAUCUUCCAAAUUGUGGAGGGCAUUGUAGGACCUGUAUAUUUCCCUUUGUGGGACAUUGGUCCAUUUAUAGCAAUUUUUAAAGCAGUUUUUCUUUGAAGAAAGCAAUAUAAGAAAAAAAAAAAAAAAGGCAAGAGAUUUUAUUCAUGCUUGUAAUAUAAAAAAAGCCUGCUGGUGUCUGGUGUGGAUUUUGUCAGCACUGAACAUGUUUAUGUGUGUAAUCUUUAAACCAUUUUACAUUUCUCUUUCUGAAGUCCAUUUUAAUAAAACCAAUAUCAAAACAAAGUGCCUUGAGAACAAGUGUAUGGCCAGAGAUACGCUGACAAAGUAUGCAAUAAAUGUUACUGCUUAUCUGGAGAGCUCCGUUUAUGCGGCACAGCCUCCACAGUCGGGUCACUGUGACCUAUGAAGGAAAUUCAGCUGAUGAGAGACUCUGCAAAGAAAACCGUCCUGGAGCCUCCCGAAGAGUUAACAAAACACAGAAAGAUUUUGCCAUGUGUUACAAGGAUCUUUGUCACCCCCAACCUGGACACCUGCAGCAAGUUGUACCCACACCAAAAAAGAACAGAAAAAAUUAGCAGGGUCUCAAUAAGAGCAGUGCACAGGUAGGAUAAAUACAUGUGCUGUAUUUACGAGCGGGUGGAAGAUUUCAGGGCAGGAUGGAGCAAUACGGGCUUUUCUGUUGAGUCAUCCAAAUAUCCAGUGCUAAAAUUCUGCAUUAAAGGGGCCAUUUUGGCUGAAGUAUAGUUCCCAGGGAACAAGCGAUAGAAAUUUGCAUGGGA